rnacentral:rRNA from 1 species
AUUGAACGCUGGCGGCAGGCCUAACACAUGCAAGUCGAACGAGUGGCGGACGGGUGAGUAAUGUCUGGGAAACUGCCUGAAGGAGGGGGAUAACUACUGGAAACGGUAGCUAAUACCGCAUACCAUCAGAUGUGCCCAGAUGGGAGUAGCUAGUAGGUGAGGUAACGGCUCGCCUAGGCGACGAUCCCUAGCUGGUCAGAGAGGAUGACCAGCAAAACGGGAACUGAGACCCGGCCCAGAGUCCUACGGGAGGCAGAAUUGGGGAAUAUUGCACAAGGGGCGCAAGCCGGAUGCAGCCAUGCCGGGUGUAUGAAGAAGGCCUUCGGGUUUUAAAGUACUUUCAGCGGGGAGGCGUUACCCGCAGAAGAAGCACCGGCUAACUCCGUGCCAGCAGCCGCGGUAAUAC